rnacentral:rRNA from 1 species
UACGAAGGGGGCUAGCGUUGCUCGGAAUUACUGGGCGUAAAGGGCGCGUAGGCGGAUAUUUAAGUUAGAGGUGAAAGCCCAGGGCUCAACCCUGGAAUUGCCUUUAAUACUGGAUAUCUUGAGUUCGGGAGAGGUGAGUGGAACUCCGAGUGUAGAGGUGAAAUUCGUAGAUAUUCGGAAGAACACCAGUGGCGAAGGCGGGUCUCUGGACAGUUCCUGACGCUGAGGCACGAAGGCCAGGGGAGCAAACGGG